rnacentral:rRNA from 1 species
UACGGGGGGGGCAAGCGUUGUUCGGAAUUACUGGGCGUAAAGGGCGCGUAGGCGGUUUCGGAAGUCAUGGGUGAAAGCCCCGGGCUCAACUCGGGAAUGGCCUGUGAAACCACGGGACUGGAGUGCUGGAGAGGGAAGUGGAAUUCCCAGUGUAGCGGUGAAAUGCGUAGAUAUUGGGAGGAACACCGGAGGCGAAGGCGGCUUCCUGGACAGACACUGACGCUGAGGCGCGAAAGCCAGGGGAGCAAACGGG